GGUAGGUCAGUGGGUAAGACGGUGGACUAUUGGUCGAUAGGUCGUGAGUUCAAAUCUCAGCACUACCA